GUUGUACUCUAUGAGCUGUCAUCCACCGCCUUGUUUAAUCCCUGGGAGCCCUCUGUGAGAUGGGGGCGAGUGUCUCCAUCUCACAGCCAGGGAGACAGUGUCAGAGAGGGUGAGUGACCUGCCCAGGGUCACACAGCCCACACGUGCUGUGCAGAAUCAAGAGCCCUGGCUUUUCCCACGAUGUAACACACACUGGGAGGUAAGCAACUUCCAGCAAUCGUUGCCCGCCUGAACGAUCCUGAGAGCACAGAGGAGGAAAGCCGGGGAGACCUGCCAAGAAAUACCAAAUGUUGUCACCAAAUGAAGCUCUUUGACAGAUCGGUACCACCAGAGUGGGCGCACACGGGAGCUUCCGAAGAGCCAAGAC
rnacentral:lncRNA from 1 species